UAAUUGGCUAGACUGGAGGGUUAGGAGUCCUCUGUAAGCACAAAUCUCCUUUGGUGCAGUCGAAAUAAAGGAGGCGGCAUUUGGAUUCAGUCAUGGCCUGUGGAGCUGAUGUCGAAGCCUCGUCCUGCAGGAUCAAUGGUGUCAGGGAUAUUACUGGAGGGUAAUAUUUAAUUGACUUUAUUGUGGGAACGUGUCAGGCCUGGAAAGGAGCAGCUCUACCGCUUACAGCUGAUGCUUGUAGAACCGCGGGGUGGAGUUAGUUUUUCAGAUAACCAUGGUUGAUGAAGGGUGUCCACUCCUUUAUGUGCCACUUA
rnacentral:SRP_RNA from 1 species